AAUAAAUACCUUAUACUUGGUUUUAAAAUAGUAUUGUACAGAAUAAAUAGUAAAAUUAUUGAACUGUAGAUAGCUAAUAUUUACAGUGACUUUUCUAAGGUGUUCGGUGUUAUAAAAGGAACUAAAGUUGGACUUUUGGUUGAUGUGUCUCAUUUGAGUUAUGGACCUAGACUACUGGAUUUUCAGAAGAACCUUUUGUGCUUAAUAGAUGAGCAACUUUGUUAUAAGAAGCAGUUGUACUGCCUCUCAUUCAGUACAGAAAUUUCACUGCUGUGGGAGAGUCCAAAAAUCAUCAAUGUUCAUGUGCUACAUGAAGCAAGACAGUGGAUACAAGAGCUGGAGCCUGGUCGAGGCUGUAAUUUGCUGAAAGCCUUAAGGCAUGUCCUUCCAAUGAAAGAACUGAAUUCCUUGGUUCUUAUUGUAGG